GGUCAAGCGAAUAAGGGUCUACGGAGGAUGCCUAGGAGCUGCAAGGCGAAGAAGGACGUGAUAAGCUGCGAAAAGCUGCGGGGAGGAGCACACAUCCGGUGAUCCGCAGAUAUCCGAAUGGGGUAACCCAUCUGGUGGAAUACCAGAUACCUGUGCAUGAACAAAAUAGUGUACAGGGGCGAGACUCAGGGAACUGAACCAUCUAAGUACCUGAAGGAAAAGAAAUCGAAUUGAGAUUCCCCUAGUAGCGGCGAGCGAAGCGGGAAGAGCCCAAACCCAUGGUGUGUAAGCGAUACAGCGUUGCAUGGUGGGGGUAGCAAGAACAUACUGGAGAGGGUGUAUCACCUCUCGUCGAGUUUGUAGAAAACCACAUGAUAGAGGAACACGACUGGGAAGCGUGGCCAGAGACAGUGAAAGCCUGGUACUCGACAUGAUGUGGACUCGAUGGGUAUGGAUCUUAAGUACGGCGGGACACGAGAAAUCUUGCCGGAAGCAGGGGGGACCACCCUCCAAGGCUAAAUACUCAGCAGCUACCGAUAGCGCAUAGUACCGUGAGGGAAAGGUGAAAAGGACCCCGGGAGGGGAGUGAAAGAGAACCUGAAACCGUAGACCUACAAGCGGUCAGAGCCUGGUGUGUUUACAUAUCGGGUGAUGGCGUGCCUUUUGUAGAAUGAGCCUGCGAGUUACCGUGUAUAGCAAGGUUAAGUGUCAGCAGACAUGGAGCCGAAGGGAAACCGAGUCUGAUAAGGGCGAAUAUAGUUGUAUGCGGUAGACCCGAAGCCAAGUGAUCUAUCCAUGGUCAGGUUGAAGCGCUGGUAACACAGCGUGGAGGACCGAACCCUAGUCCGUUGAAAAGGGCAGGGAUGAACUGUGGAUCGGAGUGAAAGGCUAAUCAAACUUGGAGAUAGCUGGUACUCCCCGAAAUAGCUUUAGGGCUAGCCUUAUAGCGACCGUAACGGAGGUAGAGCACUGAAUGGGUGCGGGCCCUUCACCGGGUACCAAACUUAAUCAAACUCCGAAUGCCGUUACGAAAUCUAUAGGAGUCAGACUACGGGUAAUAAGGUCCGUGGUCGAAAGGGAAACAGCCCAGACCGUUAGCUAAGGUCCCCAAGGUGUGCUAAGUGGGAAAGGAAGUGUAAUUGCGAAGACAGCCAGGAGGUUGGCUUAGAAGCAGCCAUACCUUUAACGAGUGCGUAAUAGCUCACUGGUCGAGUAGUUAUGCACUGACAAUGUAACGGGGCUAAGCACGCCACCGAAGCUACGGCAUACAUACUUUUUAGUAUGUGUGGGUAGGGGAGCGUUCUAUGUACCGAAGAAGGUAAUCUGGAAGGAUUGCUGGAGGGGAUAGAAGUGAGAAUGCAGGCAUGAGUAACGAAAAGACAGGUGAGAUUCCUGUCCGCCGAAAGCCUAAGGUUUCCAGGGUAAAGGUCAUCUGCCCAAGGGUUAGUCGGCCCCUAAGGCGAGGCUGAAAAGCGUAGUCGAUGGGAAACGGGUUAAUAUUCCCGUACCUCUGCAUGGUGCGAAGGAAUGACGCAUAGGGUGAAGUCAGGCCGGGCGAUGGUAGUCCCGGUUUAAGCAGCGAGCUGAUGAUUCCGGCAGGUAAAUCCGCCGGGAGAGGUAAGCUGUGAAUACGAGCGAUCCUACGGGAGAGUGAAGCUGGCGGAGUCGUCGUGCCAAGAAAGAAUUUCUAAGCAUAACCAUGCGGGGACCGUACCGUAAACCGACACAGGUAGGCGAGCUGAAUAUGCUCAGGCGCUCGGAAGAAUUCGCGUUAAGGAACUCGGCAAAAUGCACACGUAACUUCGGGAGAAGUGUGGCCUUUUGUGGGUGGUCAAACACUUACGGGAGGUUGCAGAGAAUUGGUUCAAUCGACUGUUUACCAAAAACACAGGUCUGUGCGAAUCUGCAAAGAGAUGUAUACGGACUGACACCUGCCCGGUGCUGGAAGGUUAAGAGGAGUUGUUAGCUUCUAGCGAAGCAGCGAAUUGAAGCCCCAGUAAACGGCGGCCGUAACUAUAACGGUCCUAAGGUAGCGAAAUUC
rnacentral:rRNA from 1 species